rnacentral:rRNA from 1 species
CUUACCAUGCAAGUCGAGCGAGGCUCCUCCUUCGGGAGGAUGUCCUAGCGGCGAACGGGUGAGUAACACGUGGGCAACCUGCCCCUAGCACUGGGAUAACCCCGGGAAACCGGAGCUAAUACCGGAUACGACCUCGAAAGGCAUCCUUCGAGGUGGAAAAGGUUUACUGGCUAGGGAUGGGCCCGCGGCCUAUCAGCUUGUUGGUGGGGUAACGGCCUACCAAGGCGACGACGGGUAGCCGGCCUGAGAGGGCGACCGGCCACACUGGGACUGAGACACGGCCCAGACUCCUACGGGAGGCAGCAGUGGGGAAUAUUGCACAAUGGGCGAAAGCCUGAUGCAGCGACGCCGCGUGAGGGAUGACGGCCUUCGGGUUGUAAACCUCUUUCAGCAGGGACGAAGCGAAAGUGACGGUACCUGCAGAAGAAGCACCGGCCAACUACGUGCCAGCAGCCGCGGUAAUACGUAGGGUGCAAGCGUUGUCCGGAAUUAUUGGGCGUAAAGAGCUCGUAGGCGGCUAGUCGCGUCGGCUGUGAAAACCUGGGGCUCAACCCCGGGCUUGCAGCCGAUACGGGCUAGCUAGAAUUCGGUAGGGGAGACUGGAAUUCCUGGUGUAGCGGUGAAAUGCGCAGAUAUCAGGAGGAACACCGGUGGCGAAGGCGGGUCUCUGGGCCGAUAUUGACGCUGAGGAGCGAAAGCGUGGGGAGCGAACAGGAUUAGAUACCCUGGUAGUCCACGCCGUAAACGUUGGGAACUAUGUGUGGGCCACAUUCCACGUGGUCUGUGCCGCAGCUAACGCAU